ACCUAGCUGGGCUUCUCUUGCACACUUCGUCAAGGUGUUAGAUCACAACGAAACUAACUUAACCUACUUUGUCAUUUAUCAAAACCUGAGUUAGACCGUCAGUGCUAACCGCACCAACAAAUACUUCUUGGAGGAGGAUAUUGGCAAUGAGUUUGAUUAGGGAGUUCAGUUUUUUGUUGGUUGUAUAGGUUAUAAAGUUUGGACAUCUUGUGUGAUGGAUGCAUAUGCUUAUGAUUCCCAACACUAUUCCCCUACUAUUUUAUUGUUUUCCAAUUCGAGGUCAACCUUUGCAUUUACGUUAACAUUGAUCGAGAUGGAGCUUUUGGUGUCACGUUCUUGAUGUAAAUCUGUGAGGUUGUUUGUAUAAUUGAGAAUGCAAUUUUAGUAGUAAGCUCAAUCUUUAGCUCACUUUUCUACGAGGGAAGGAAACAACUAAGGAAAGAAAAAUAAAAUCUAGAACACAUUAGUAAAUUUUUUUUUCUAGCUUUUGUUCCCUUCUUGUGAAGGAAAGAAAUAGAGUGCUCCUUUGUUCCAUUUCAUGAAGGGAAUCAAUGAGGGAGAGCAACCAAAGUUUCAAAAUUUAUUUGUUAAAAAAUAUAAAUCAAGUAUAGAAUUGGGAGCAAAACAAUCCUGAUUCUUUUUUGGUUGGAUUGUGUCCAUUGCAUGUGAAUAGUUCAUGUUUAUCCAAAUUAACUGGAAGAAAAUUUGGGUUGAACUGGAUAAAGAAUUUCAUAUUCCUUACCUCCUGUCUUCUAUUUCUGCCAAAGAAAACAUUAGCAAAGGACUGACGGAUAAAUCCUUCUGCCAAUUACUUAUUUCCUUUGUGUUUCCUACACUCAUGAGAGACACAACCUUGGGGCCUUAAUUUUGCAAGGAAAGCUGAUUACUGAGAUAUUUUUGUCCAUUCUAUUCUUUUUUUUUUAUUUCUAAUAGAUGGUAAAACACACACGAUCUUCUUCACCAGUUGAGUAUAAAUUAGGCAAUAUAUAAAACAACAUAAAUAAUUAUUGAGAAAGAUUAACAGUGGAGGUUUCGAAAUCAUAUACACAAUAUGUGGUAGAGCCACCACAUAAAGCAUAUCCAGUAUGGUUAUAGCGCCUUCAUUUACUGCCCAUACCUUAACACCAUUGUAUAGAUAAUAAUGCCAAAUAGCAUGUCAAAAAGUACGACUAUAUGAGUUUUUUUAAUUACUAUAUAGUAUAUAAAAUAAGUAAAUCAAAUCCAUAUAUGCAAACAAAUAUAAUGUCUAAUCACUUAACAAUUAAAUUAAUUAUUCUAACCAAUGUGGGCAUAGAUAAUAUAUAUAACACUAGAUACAUAAUACAUAACAAUUAAUGCUAAUCAAUUGGCAAAUCCAUAAAAGAUAUGUAGAUGAAUUCCUAAAAAUACACAUGCCAUUAGAUUUUAUUUUGCAAUUUUAUUGAAUCAAUCUGCAGUAAUUUGGAUAUGUUGAAAUGGGAGAAAAAUUAUUGAGAUAAUAUUAAUAUGCUCAGAUAUGACAUCCUAAAUAAGUCAGCGUUGUAGCUAAACCAUAAUGGUUGGGUCUAACAUAACUUGAUAAAUAAUCAAUCAUUUGGACUUUGACAAGCUUUGUUGCAUAAUCCUUAUGUCGCCAUAAGUAGAUACAGUAUAGGUCAUCCCCUCACUAGAUAAGAUUAUGACUCUAUACAUAGACUUUUAUAAUAUUUGUAACAGUAAACGUAUUGUUUAGGUGCAUUCAUGCCUAGAUACAUCUAUAGAAGGGUGUUUCUGACAAUUAACAUUACUACUUCUUCUGACAUGAUUAUUGUAUCCAAAUCUCUGAUGAUUUUUCUUGUAAUAUUUUGUUGCCCAGGUUACACACAGUUUCCUCUUCCAACAGAUAUAUUUGAUACAUGGCGCAAAUGUGCUUUUGGUUAAGUUACUUUUAAGUUCCAAGCCUUUUUUUUGAUAAGUAAAAAAAUAUAUAUCAAAGCAAGACCAAGGUACAAUACCCAAAAAUUAGUAGCGGCUCAUCUUUGACAUAAUGUUAGAUAAAAAAUACUCCCAAACUCCAACAAUCAUGAAUUUGUGCAUUUUUAUAAAAUUUCUCACUCUUUGACUAUCCCUCAUCAAAGAUGCAACUGUUCCUAGAUCUCCAUGUAAAGUGUAUCAAAGCCGACAUUACAAGGUGUCUGGUUUUAGUCAAGAGACGACCUCCUUUGAAGACAUGCCUAAAGACUAAGAGCAUCCACAUGCAACAUUUGGGUUACACAAGAUUAUCGUAGCAUCAAGGAUGCCGGUGGGCUGCCAUGGCAAAAUUUGGGUUACGUAGCAAAAAUUUGAUGUUGCAUUUAAAUUUAUCAAUUUAAUUUAAUUUUGAGUAACAGAGUGUGAUUGCAUCAAUUUGGUAUCAAUGCCAAUCUUAUUUGCCUAGUUGUGCUCAAUAAAGUCAAAUAGUCUAAACCGUUCAACAUGUCGUUUGGAUAAAUUAUUGAAACUUAAUAUAGGUAAUCUAUUCUAUGUAAUUGUAUUAAUAAUGUCAAUGAGUGUGUACAUUAUAGACCCCUUGACAUGCCACAAAUCUUAUUAAGAUAAAUUGAAAUAAUAUUUAUUAUUUUUUUUUGUAGCUUUUAACAUCAACAUUGUACUGUUGCAGGUAGAACAUAAAAUCCGAAAUUUGGCAUAUAGUUGUGUUCUAUUCUUCUUUUUUUUUUAUCUCCUUCGUCGUACCACUCCAAUUCUCCAUUAGUGUUGUAGGUUGAAACAUCAACACAAUACUGAAAUAUUAUGGUUCUAGCGAAAGUCUGAAACUCUCGACACAGCUAUUGAUUAGAUUGACUUGAAGUAGUCCUUGGGCAUCAUAUAGUAUAGCCAAGAUGGAGGAUAUAUAUGAUUAAAAAAUUUGUGUUUUGGCUGCCAAAUAUUGUCUAGAUCUUCAUUUACAUAAUUGUACUCUCUCUUAAAUUGCAAUUGCAUAGUAAUAUGAGGUAAAUGAAUACUUCUAUUUACUUCAUCUGUUUAGCUUUGCUUGAAGUUUUUAGAUUCAUUAAAACUGACAAAAGUUUAUUUUAAUAAGCCAAAAUUGAAUUCUCGAUUUGAAUGAAACUAUACCUUUUCUUCUUAUAUGCAUUUGCAUCAUUAUUCCUACCCAGUUUUGUUGCCUAUUCUAAUAUUUCUUUUUUUUUUAAAUUUUAUUUACUCACAUUUUAUUGGAUUCUUUUUUUUUAAAUCAUUAGUUUCAAUGAUAAAAUAAGUGAUGCAGUUUUAGGUGGAUCACCAUUUGAUCAUCCACUUCAGCAAGGGUUUGUUAUUGGUUUAUCAUUGGAAGUAACUCUUGCUUAACUUUGCAUUUCCUUCUCAAUUUAUUAUUUUUACAUUGUUGUUUUAUAGCUAUAACUAUAACUAUGCCAAUUCCAGUGCUAGUGUUGGUGGUCAUGCAGCCAAGUUAGUCCAUUCAAAUUGGUUAACUUAUGCUACAACUGAUGCUAGGUGCUUCAAAACUGAUUUUGAUACAUGAACAUUCCUUAGUAGGAUUGUCCUCAAUUUGAAAUACUAGUCCAUUGGACAUCAAACUCACAAACUUGCUAACUUUGGUAUCGUUAACAAAGGAAGUUUAACCAAGUAGCCACCUAAUGAGGCUCUUGAAUUUUCUUCUAGUCAACAUGAAAUGGGUUAAUCCCCUCAUUUGUCUUAGUUAGCAUGAACUAACUAAUUGAAAUUUCACUUCAUUAGGAAAGAAAAAGGGUAGCCUAAUGCACGAAGCUCCCGCCAAUGUGAGGUAUUGGCGGUCUCAGGGAAGGAUGUAUUGUACGUAGUCUUAUCUUACAUUGCAAGAGGCUGUUUUAGCGACUUGAACCCAUGACCUCUUGGUCAUAUUGCAAUAACUUCAUUAGGAAAUAGUUCAAUAAAAUAACAUUUUAAUCACCUAUUCUCCUUGCAUAGUAUAAUCCCUAAAUAUGCAAUGGUUUGUUUGAAUUUAUUGAGAAAAAUAGUAUUUCAAUGAAUUGGAACCUCAAAAACCCAAUUAGCAUUGACUACCAUGACAGUAUUGACUUUAAUCAACUUGAAGAACCCAUUUGGACUAUUACCUAUUCUUAGCUAGAUAUCAAAGAUAUGUUAGUUGUAGAAACAAUAUAUUUUGAGUUUUCACUUUACCUUAAUUAGUAAAUAUUAAAUACUACUAUUGUUUUGUACCUUUGAACUUUGGUGCAAAGUAACGAAUGUAUCAGUAGGUGUUGUUUGAGAAGUUCAAUUGAAGAGUAAUAUCACAAGGUUAAUCCAUGAAAAAAUGUUAAUUAUAAACUAUAUGGAUAGUUUCUAUCUUGAAACCUCCAUUUAUUUUUUGCCUUAAGCAUAUACAUGUUGUACAAAUUUGAUAUUAUUUUUUUCCCUUUUAAACCUAAUGGAUGUGACCAUGGUUACAAAUCUAUCUCGGAUGAUAUGCUGUCAUCUUCUACAGAUCACAUAGUUUCCUUCUUUAUUUAUUGAUAUCGUAUGUGUUUGAAAUCUCACUUUUAGUAGGCUUCCUUGUUCCUUCCAACCUUUUAUUGCUUGAGGUUGAUACUUGGGUAGGACUAACUUGGGAACUAUGCAAUGCAAUAAAUAAUAGGAUGAGAAGGAUAAUGCCAAACUUGAAGGGUAGCCUAGAUGCUGACAUCCUUGUAUUUCUAUGUGAAGGGACUCCUUGUUUUCUUCUAAGGUUUUUUUAUGGUUCAUGUUUUGUUCCAAGGUUGCAUCCUUUAAAGAGUUGUCACUGGUUCUGAUAUCCUGUUUCUUAAGAAAUGACAAAGGUUUAUCAAGGUACACAGUAGACCCACCAUGGCCUAUAACAACAAACUAUUAUUUAUAUAACAAUUAAUCUCAUAGAUCCUGUAACUUAUACUAUACCAACAACCUUUUCUCAAUUAGGUUGUAAGUAAUUCUAAAAAAAACUACUAGAUGUUUGAAGUAGCCUAGUGCAGGACUUUGUUUUACCAAGUAACUACUGAAAAUAAUAUUGCAAGGAGGUUUACCUUAACUUUAAAUGCUAAGGAUAGAAAACAAGUCUCAGAUUUCAAGAUAAAUCUAAGGCUCUAUAAAUAAUUUGAUGAAAUCAACUUUUGCUCUGACUAUUAUGUUUAUAAUACUCAUGACUUGUAAUUACUAAGUUACUUUUAUAUUUUUGUAAGUAUUUGAUCCAACUAAUGAUGUUGCUUUAUUUUUGAAGGUUGGAUUAGCUGCUAUCCUAAAGGGCUUUGUCCUAACAUGUCAAGAUGGAACAACAUAGCUCUCUAUGUCCUUGCACUAAUUUCAAGCAUAGUUUUAAGCAUGGCCAGUAUCAAUGUUUGUACAGAGUAGUAUGGCUGAGGAAUACUAAUGCUUCUGGGCUUUGGUGACAUUGAUCCCAGACAAUUUUACUAGAAUCGAUCUCUCUGACAUAUACAUUGCAAUUUUUCAUUCCUAUGCUUCAUAUGCAAAUCAAACAAGAAAGAGGUAGACCAAAGAAGACUUCAUUAGCUACGAUAAAAUAAGAUAAAAUUUAUUUAAAUAUACACGAUAAUAUAG